AUUGAACGCUAGCGGGAUGCUUUACACAUGCAAGUCGAACGGAGCGGCGGACGGGUGAGUAAUAUAUCGGAACGUGCCCAGUGGCGGGGGAUAACUACUGGAAAGAGUGGCUAAUACCGCGUACUAUUGGAGCGGCCGAUAUGGGAUUAGCUUGUUGGUGGGGUAAAGGCUCACCAAGGCAACGAUCCGUAGCUGGUUUGAGAGGACGACCAGCCACACUGGGAUUGAGACACGGCCCAGACUCCUACGGGAGGCAGCAGUGGGGAAUUUUGGACAAUGGGGGAAACCCUGAUCCAGCCAUCCCGCGUGUAUGAUGAAGGCCUUCGGGUUGUAAAGUUCUUUUGGCAGAGAAGCGGUAUCUACAGAAGAAGCACCGGCUAACUACGUGCCAGCCGCCGCGGUAAUAC
rnacentral:rRNA from 1 species